rnacentral:rRNA from 1 species
UACAGAGGGUGCGAGCGUUAAUCGGAAUUACUGGGCGUAAAGCGUGCGUAGGCGGCUUUGCAAGUCGGGUGUGAAAUCCCCAGGCUUAACCUGGAACUGCAUUCGAGACUGCAUUGCUAGAGUAUGGGAGAGGGAAGUGGAAUUUCCGGUGUAGCGGUGAAAUGCGUAGAUAUCGGAAGGAACAUCAGUGGCGAAAGCGACUUCCUGGACCAAUACUGACGCUCAUGUGCGAAAGCGUGGGGAGCAAACAGG